GCUCAGCUGAGACCUUGCUAUGUGACCUUUUGUUCCACAAGUGGAAAAAUGAAGGUGGAUGGCAAACCCCAGUUUGAAGCAGCCUAGGCCUGAGAGUCACUGCGUGGGGAAGGCUGCCUGGAGAUGCACCAUCUACAUCUGGCUCUGAGCCUCUCCAGGAGAAAAAAUGGAUGCUACUGGAGGGCAGGUACCAGCCUGGGAAUCUUCUAACAUCUCUGGCUUCUGUGAUUCUUUCAUCUUCAUGAGUUGUGAUUUCUUCAAUUGAACUCUCACCCUUGCAAACAGGUUCCUUGUUGUCUUCCGACGAAUCACCUUGUCAGUAGCCUCGAUGAGCACUGCUGUCUCUGGAUAGAAAUGAAGAUGACAAUAUUUCUCAUUUCAUGCUUCUUUAAGAGAAGUUAUCUUCGUUUUCUAGGGUGAAGCCCUUAGUCACUCAGGAAAGCUUAAUGAACUCCCAUGGAAGAUAUAAGGAACUCACAGUUUAUUGGGUUGGGUGGACAGAUACAUUUAUCACAACAGACUCCAGGAUGUUCUGAAAACAGCAGACCAGUAGGUUGUGGGAGCACAGAGAUUAGGGGGUCACUUCUGCCUGGGACGCUGGCACAUCCAAGCUGGAAUGAUCAAGCUGGAUCUUGAAGAUAAUGUUCAAGGUGACAUCUGAACUUGAUCUCUGGCCCCAGGUCCCAGGCUGGGUCUCAUCUUCCGUGUUCAAUUCCCACAGCAGUCCCGCUAAUGGAAUAUACAAGCCAGGUUUUCCUGUACUGAAAGGUGAUCAAAUCAGACAAAUUGUAAAUCUACAGCUGUUGUUUUGUCAGCAUGUAUAUUUUUAUAGAAAGGAGCAAAUCUCUGCCGA